GCAGCUUAAUUCUGCAGCGAAUCUCCACCGUCCGAUCUUAAUCAUCCUCCGACGAUGCCGAUCCGGAACAUUGCCGUUGGCCGACCCGAGGAGGCGUACCACCCGGACGCCUUGAGGGCGGGUCUCGCCGAGUUCAUUUCCACGCUGAUCUUCGUCUUCGCCGGCGAGGGCUCCGGCAUGGCCUUCGCCAAGCUCACCCACGGGGCCGCGACCACGCCAGCAGGCCUCGUCGCCGCCGCUCUAGCCCACGGAUUCGGCCUCUUCGUCGCCGUCUCCGUCAGUGCGAACAUCUCCGGCGGACACGUCAACCCCGCGGUCACUUUCGGCGCCUUCGUCGGCGGCAAUAUCUCCCUCCUCCGCGGCAUCCUCUAUUGGAUCGCCCAGCUCCUCGGGUCCGCCGUCGCGUGCGGUCUCCUCAGGUUCGCAACCAACUACCAGGUAAUUUUAUCACUUUCUGGCCCUUUUUGAACUAUAAGUUUCUCGUUAAGUUCGUUAAUAUAUCAUUUUAUAUUAAAAGUGUGACUAACGGGUCUUGAUUAUGUGCUUCGCAGACUACCUCAGCAUUUGCUCUCUCCGAGGGGGUUGGGGUAUGGAACGCGUUCGUUUUCGAGAUCGUGAUGACGUUUGGGUUGGUGUACACGGUGUACGCCACAGCCAUUGACCCGAAGAGAGGCAGCGUGGGAACAAUCGCGCCGAUCGCGAUCGGUUUCGUAGUUGGCGCGAACAUUUUGGCGGGUGGGGCUUUCGAUGGAGCAUCCAUGAACCCGGCCGUUUCAUUCGGGCCGGCUUUGGUGAGCUGGAACUGGCACAACCACUGGAUCUACUGGGCCGGGCCUUUGAUCGGCGGUGGGCUUGCUGGGCUUAUUUACGAGUUCGUCUUCAUCGGCAACUCUAGCCACGAGCCACUCCCGACCGCUGAUUACUAAUUAAUUAAGCUUUAAUUAAGCCCUAAUUAAGAUUCAAUCAAAUGAUAUGCAUGCAUGAUGAAUCUUCACUUGUUUUUAUGAGGGUUUUGUACCUUUGAAUUCUUGUGUUUUAUUUCAUCAAGAAAGAUCAUGAUCGUUCAUCAUGAGUUCGUUGCCACCGUUGAUUGUAUUUGUUUCGCGAUUUGCAUGCUCCGGUUGUAUGAUUAAUUUAAUUUAUCCUUUUUUAUUAUUAUAAAUUUUCUGUAAUUUAUUUCUUGAAGAUACUCUUCUUCUCACUUCUUUUUACUGUUUUUAAUUUGGACCUACGCGGCCACGCGUCAUAUGAUAGAGAUAGGGUUGGGUUGGAUUAAACAGUUAAAUCUAGAAUGUGCUUGAUUUUGGUAGUUUUUACCUACCCCCUAAAGUGAAUAACUACUGUUCCUGCAUGUGAUUGAUUUGGCCCUGCCGACACCAACCAUUCGCCAAUAGUAGUAGUAGUUAAUCGGGGGAAGAUACAUGCAUGGGUAAUGUUAAGAAUCAUAAUUUUAGACCAGCAAUAAAUUACGUAUAUCAUGUCACACUAAAUAUUUUGAAUAAUGAAUAAUGAGGACAUUCUUUUUUAUAAACGUUGGAUUUGAAUUUAGAAUUUCUUUCAAUGUUUUAGUCGGUAACUAAGUAGGUUGCUGAUAUGUAUCAUUAUCACGUGCUGGAUAAUAUGAUUAAUUACUUACAAUACAAUCUAAUGAUUUGUUUAGAAGAUUAAUUUCCUCGUCCAUGAAGUUACUAAUUAGAAGUAAUUAAACCAAGCUAGCUAAAAUAAAAUACUCUGGUAGAGAACUAUUUGACAUGUGACUACUAGGAGCCUAUAUGACACACAUAAAUGCAAAUAUAUAAAUGCAAAUAUUAUAGGCAAUAUUAUUAUUAUUUAUGCAUGCGUAUUCAAUCAUGUGGUGUGGGUCUUGGAAAAGGAAUUUUGAAAUUGAUUGAUUUCAAUAUGUUUUUGGGUGGUUGGGUUUUCAUGUGAAGAGCACGAGAGGUGUGUGUUUCACGUUGAAAGACUGCUAGAAGAAGAGCCCAGACUACCCAUAUGAAAUGAAUGUGAUCAACUUAAAUAUUAGAGGAAUGGCAUGACCUACUUUCAUUUCAUAGAGAUUCCUCCUCGUCGUCAUCAUCAUCUCGUUCUCAUUCAUGAAAAAAGAAAAAAAGAAGAUGAAGAGCACAUGAUAAUUUUCUGGACCAUACUUUUGUAUCUUGUCCUUUUUAAUCUGCAUCUUUUGGCCACCUUCGUGGCCCGGUGCUAUCGUUUUCAAACCCGAAAGCUGCCCCGCUCUCUCUCUCUCUCUCUCGUAAAUGUUCUGGUUCUCACUGUGCAAACAUUGGCCAAGACGUGGUUUCAAGCGGACCGCACAACUUGCAAUGCUACCUUUCAAUUUCAUAGGAUCUUCUAAAGAAGAUUUGGGGUCCCAUGGCUCACCGUCCAUUCUGGUUUUCUAAUUUAUUAUCACACGGUUUAUAAAUAGUUUUUACUUUUCAAAUGGUAAUGUUGAUUUCUUGCCAAACUUUAUGUUACCACACAAAUAUUUAUAUGCAUAUUGACAGACUAAGAAUCCGAAUCGCGCAUUAUCAAAUAAAAAUUAAUAUGAUCAAUAUCAAAACUCACGUCACACAUUUAAAUAAGAACCAACAUGAUUAAUGAUCGAGAUUGAUAUUCUCAUGUUGUGUAAACGAGUGAAGAAGAAACUCACUGAAGCACACAAUACAAUAUUAGUGAAACUUUGCAGUGGAGUGAUUGAUUGACGACACAAAGCUGGUGGAAAGUAAUUUUUUUUUUAUUCUGACCCAAAUGAAGCCUUUGGCUCUUAGCCAGUUAUGUCGAACCAGUUGCAACUGGAGACUGCACCAUGGCUUGGCUUCUCACGUCGUUUUGACGUGACCUGUCCCUACCCAGUUUGCUAGAAUUAUUAACAAAACGUGAGAGAAGUUUGGCAGAGGUUGGGGAUGAUGAUGAUAAUGAACAAAUGUCUGUUUGUGUGUAGAACCGAAUACGGCCUUCAUUUCUUGCUCUCAGAAUACAAUAAUACUAGAGAAUUUGAAAUAUUGAAAUAUUGAGGGACUUUAUAUGAUUAAGGAAGCUGUCUGGAGUACUGAGUAUAAUGGUUUGUGAUAGGUGCCUGAGUUGUUAUGGUGGGAAAAUUAUUGUGGGGGCAACAACAAUUUAAAUUAUUCUAGUGUUCUGUUUUUUUUUUUUAAAGUUAGAAAAGGGAUGGGGAAAAACUCACACACACGAGUACUGUAGGGGUAACGCUUGAGUCAAUCCAACACACACCCCAUAAGUGCUAUAUAUCAUAGUUUAACCAAUUAAAAUAAAAACUAGACAGAUGACAUGUUUACUUAUUUAAAUUAUACAUGGGUAUUACGAGACUUUCACAUUAAAAUUCAUAAUUUAAUAUCCAUAAAACCAUGAAUUAAAUUGACUAGGAGAGAAUGGUCGAUUGGAGAGGUGGAGCCACUCAUGGGCUAGUAGUGACCCUGCCCCUUGCCCCUUGCCCCUUGCCCCCGAAAAUAUUGCUAGAAAACUCUCAUAUUUACAUAAUCGGCCCCUCUAAACAUGUGUAUGGAUGUGAAAUUUGUUAAACUUGUGUAAAAAUCAAUCCAACUACAGCUUGUUAUUUAUAUUUUGGCUCCCCAAAAUUUAAAAUCUUAGCUCCUUAGCUCCGGCCAUGCACGAUCCCCGACCUAUUCAUUGUCCUUUCUACUUUCCCACUUCAUGAGAUGACUUCCCAUAUUCCGAGUAAGUAAACAUGCCAUAAAUGCAAAUAGUCGCCAACCUACAGCUCGAGAGUGCAAGGCGAGAUCAAGAUUCGAGCUGUAGUCCGAAUGUGGGACUUAGGACUCAAGUCCAAAGCUUGGAUUAUGGGCCUGUGGUCUUAGACCUCUGAGCUCGGACCAGGCCACCAAUGAUUCUUGUUUCCUCGCUCAGAAUCUGAUGAACAUUGGUUGAAAGUGCCACUCUAAAAAUGGGCUAGGCUCUUCCAAUAACUGCAAGAGCAGAGGGGUGCCUCCAAACUCAGAUAGGCCCAAAUGAAUUAUUGUUGGGUUGGGUUGCUAUCACGUGGCCACGCAAGCAUAGACUUGAUAACGCUCACGUCAUUAACCACGUGGAUAUAUACAAAUGUCCUGAACCCCAAAGUUAGCCGACACGUCGUCAAACAACACCGCUGUUUUCUAAAAAAGCGUUUUUCUAAAUUCUAAAUACUGUGUGCCUGCCAAACGACAAACAGCAUGUUGAUUUCGGGACCAGGCGUUUUCCAUAUCCGGAGACCCGCGUCAGCAGAGCCCAACAAACCUAUCCUAUCCGAAUCCAAUACGACUCUCAUUAUUUCCAUGAACACAUAAAAAUAUCCCAAAAAGAGUAAUUUUCUCUGCCUAAAAUGCCCUCCUAAGAGCAACUCCACCCAUUUGCCCUUAGCCAUGGCAAGGGGGGAGCUAGGGCAGCCACUAUUCACGUGAAUAGUGGUUGCCCUUGCAAAUAGUAUUUUGAGUUUCCACCCAUUGCCAUGGCUAAGGGCAAUUACUAUUCAUUUUUUUGUUUUUUCACAACUUUUUUUUACUUAAAUAAUUAAUUUGGAUAAUAUUUUCGGAUAAGAUUUUUGGGUUCCUACGUGUCAAUACUAUUCAUAUCGGAUAAGAUUUUAUUUUAUUAGUUGUAUUGGUUGGUAUUCAUUUAAAAAAAAAAAUUAGGAUUUGGUGUUAAAAGUGAAGAGUAUUGGUUGGUAUUUAUAGACACGGGCGGACCCAUAAUUUUUUUAGCGGAGGUGCAAUAUUGGCUAAGUAUGAAAAAUGGUUUUUCGGAAUAAUUAUUUUCUCAAGAUAAUUUUUGGCGGCUUUUAUUCCUUACACAUCAAAUAAGAAAACUUGAUUUUAUGGGAUUUUAAUAUGAAGUAUAUAUUGACUUAAUGAGCCAUCAUUUUUAGCCUAAAUCGUAUUUUGCACUAAAACCGAUUUUUCAUAUUUUGAUUUGGUGGGAAUUUGAUUUUCUAGUAUUUUUAUUUGAAUCCAAAUGGGGGGUACUUCCUUAUUUACAUUGUAAACUUAAGUAAAUGGAGUAAUAUAAAAAUAAAUUAAAGUAAAAGGACAAAGACAUUUACUUAAAUGUUGAAAAUGGAAAUAAGGUAUAGAGGAAAAUGUUGAGUAAAGAGUGAAUAAUAGUAGAAGUAUAAUGAAAUGUAUGAGGAUUGGUGUUGAAAGUGAAGGGUAUUGAUAGGUAUUUAUAGAAAAAAAAUAUCAGAAUUUUUUAGAAUUUUUUAAAAAUAUUUACGAUUUUUUUUCAUAUUUUUAUUGCCCAAAAAAGCCUCAGCCGUUGGAUUAAUUUGGAGAAGCAGAUCGGAAGGCUGGGGAGGCGACACGUGGCAGCGUACCUUGGACCUGGCGCGCUGACGUCAGCGUGACGCGAGGCUGACGUCAGCAACACGCGAGUUGGACCUCGGGCUGGUCUCGCCUUCGGGCUGGCCCGAGUUGGUGGGUCCCACACCACCCCCGGGCCUGGGCUGUACGCUGGAGCGACUUUUUUUUUUUUUCCUGCCCUCGCCUCGGGCUGGGCUCCCUCGCUGGAGCUGCUCUAAUUUUGCCUUGUACAACUAACUCACUCAGUUCAACUCGUAAAAUCACACACCUCCUUUCCAUUCCCGCCAACCCAUUUAGACCUGCACAACCAUUACUCAUGUAACAAAUCUUUUCCGUCUUUGAUGUGAAUUAAGUCAGUUAAUUAAGAUAAUAUAUCCGUCUCGUUACAUUUGAAUUUGAUUUUCCUUUUCAUUGAAAAUGAAAAAGCUUCUUCACAAUUAUGAAAAUCCCAAUCUCUUCAACCACCCCCUCACACCCGAACACCCAAACGACGGCGUAUUGGGGUCCCUUGGAAGCCAAAUAAUUGAAAGAUAUCAACUUCGAAAUCAUAUGAUUAGGACCCCUAAUCAGUUGGGUACAAUUAUUACAUUUAUUUAGGAUUAGAUUAGACCGGCAAACGCUGGUGUGUCGCCUCGUCAGCACUUUCAUUAUUCCCGCAAAGGAAAUAUCAAUCCAGUUGAUAAAAGCAUCUCAUUUUCUCAGGGGGCUUUCGUCAGUUUUGUUGCUUACUUGAAAACUUGAAAGCAUUGCAUAGGUAGGCCUUUGGCCUUCCUCUCUCUCCUUUUAUCUUCGCCAUUUUCACAAUUUUCUUCAAGCUUCAAUCUUUUUCUUCCGGGUAUCAUAGUAGUUAAGUAGCAUUUGAGAAUGGAGAGCGGAUCCGAGACCCAGAUGGAUUUGAACAACAACACUUCUCAUCAGAAUGAUCACUCUAUCAUGGAGAUGGGAUCUGGGAAUUUCGGGUAUUCAUCUAUAAAUUUGUUUUUGUUAAAAAAGAAUUGAUUUUUUUGAGCUGAAGUUUUGAUUUUUGUUGUUGCGGGUAAAUGAAUUUAAAGGUGCGCCCAUUAUAGACGGAGGUGCAAGAUCAGAGCACCUUGCUGUGAUGAGAUAUUCGAUUGCAGGCAUUGCCAUAACGAAUCCAAGGUCAGUUUUUUUUUUGGAAUGGUUUUUGUUUUAACUUUGAUUAAUAUUGAUAAGCAUGUUAUAAUUUGGGUGUCUUUGUUUUUGGAGCAGAAUACAUUGGAAGUUGAUCCUCUUGAUCGCCAUGACGUUCCUCGCCAUGAUGUGAAAAGGGUUAGUUGCUUUUACUGUCUCUGAUUCAUAGCAGCUUAGUUUUAAAAAAGGAAUGGGAAAUGGAAUUAGAAACUGUGGCCUUUUUAUUUUUCAAGUAGAUUUGAUUUUAUCCGGAUUUUGCUGGAUAUGAAUUUAAUUUUAUUUACUUUCCAUUUAUAUCUCCUUGUGCUGUCUGAGCGUUAAAGGGUUCACAUCAAAAGAUCUGAACUUUAUGGAUAAGGUUCAGAGCAUCUAUCUUUUGUUUCUCUAUGGACUGUUGAUUACUUGCACAUAUUAUGCCAACUUGAAAUAGUCAUUUUCUUUUCUUUCCUUUUAUUUUCUCCCCUCUUCCUACCCUUAUCAUUUUAAGUUUAUGUUGAAUAAUUAAAAAGUUUCACUUUGUUUGCCUUGUAUGGUUCAGGUCAUCUGCUCCUUGUGCAACACAGAACAAGAUGUAAGCCUUCUUGCAGAAAACUCUGAUGAUUGUAUUAUUAAUUAUAAAUUGAAGGAUGAGGUUAAUGACUUCUCUAGUUCUGAUAUCCUUUCAGGUUCAACAGCACUGUAUCCAAUGCGGCGUUUGCAUGGGGAACUAUUUUUGCUCCAAAUGCAAGUUCUUUGAUGAUGAUGUAAGCCUCUGAGUUCUUACCUAAUAAAAAAAGGGAGCUUCUUAAGUUCAUAUCCUCAUAAAUAUGAAACCCUGUUUCAAAUGCACUUUUUCUUAUUCUAAAAUUGGUAGGUUUCGAAAAAAACAGUUCCUUUGUGAUGAAUGUGUUAUUAGAAAUUCACUUUUUCUUAUUCUAAAAUUUGUAGGUUUCGAAAAAUCAGUACCAUUGUGACGAAUGCGGUAUCUGCAGGUUAGACACUUUUCUGCACGUUUUUGUUGUUCCCUUCAGUUGUUUGUCUUUUCGUUGUUUUUAAAUUUUCUUUUAAUAAAUACGCGUUACAUUUCAUUAUCUUAUGUCAGUAAAGCUUCUUCAUUGAUAAAACAUUCGCACGUGUCUAAGUUUGUUUUAAUUGGUAUUACAGAACCGGAGGCGAGCAGAAUUUUUUCCACUGUAACAAAUGUGGUAAGAUGUUAACCCUGUUUUUUCAUUAAUUUUUCAUCGUUUUAAUCAUUUUUUAUUUAUAAUAGUCUAAAUUGGAAUAUCUCUAUCUGGUUUUAGAAUGUUGUUACUCAAAAGUGUUGAAGGAUUCACACAAUUGUGUGGAGAAAGCAAUGCAUCAUAAUUGCCCUGUGUGCUUUGAGGUAAAGUUUGGAGUUUGCUAUGCCCAAGUAUUAUCCUGUUUUCUGCUUUAUGGUGCACCAACUCACAUCGGUUACUUGUGCAGUUUCUUUUCGACACAAGGGCAGACAUUACUGUCUUGCUAUGUGGACACACUAUACAUUUGGAAUGUGUUAAAGAGAUGGAGCGACAUUGCCAGUAAUUCCUUUUUUCUUCACUCUCUCUCUCUCUCCCUCUCUCUCUCUCUCUCUCUCUCUCUCUCUCUCUCUCUCUCUCUCUCUCUCUCUCUCUCUCUCUCUAUAUAUAUAUAUAUAUAUAUAUACAUACAUACAUAUACAUAUAAAAAGAUUAUCUGAUAUAAAUCGUUAGUAGUAAAUGUAAUGAAGAUAUAAAUCGUUAGUAUAAAGAGUAAUGAAACAAUAGCCCCAUAGUAAUUGUAUACAACUUUGCAGGUAUUCAUGCCCGGUUUGCUCAAAAUCAUAUCGCGAUAUGUCCCGUGUGUGGGAAAAACUUGAUCAGGAGGUAAAUCUAUGAUUCGAUGAUUCAAUGUAACGAUAUGAGUCACAUGACUGCCUGUCAUUUCUAGUUUACUAAUCGCUUUCAAAUUAAAUAUCAGAUUGCUGCAACUCCCAUGCCUCAAAUGUAUCAAAAUAAGAUGGUAAGUAUACAUAUAUGAUUACUAUCUUUGAUUUCUCCAACUAUUGGGUAAUUAAAUUCCGCAUACACUUUUUGUAUGGUUAGGUUUGGAUCCUCUGCAAUGAUUGCGGGCAAACAUCAGAGGUAAAUUUCCACAUUGUAGCACGUAAGUGCCUGAAAUGCAACUCCUACAAUACAAGGCAAACACAAGGAGGGCCAGCCUCAUGCUCAUCAAGGAUUACAGAUAUGGUGAGAUGAAUGACUUCAAUACAUCAAAAUUUGUGAUGUAUUACUUCCGAAAUUGUAUUACAAAAGGAAGCUUUAGUUGUGGCAAAGGAGGGAAAAUUAGUAGUGCCAGUCCCUUUACUAGUUUCUUUGUAGGUUUAAUUGUGCAAAACAUUGGCUCAUAUUUGAGCCAAUUUCUAUAUGCCAGUGGGUAGGGUCAGCAGGUUGUAUUUGAAAGUACGGGAAAACAUUGUAUGAAGCUUCAUCAAUGGAAAAUGUUUCAACAUAUAACAAAGAUAUCAUGAUAUCAAUUUGUAAUUCAAUUGCAAAUAGGUUUGCAACUUCAAAAGUACAUAUAAAUUGAAUGAAGAGACAAUGAAUUAGAGUGGAGCAAAACUGAAGACAAUCACUGACUUCCUGAGAUAGACUUGCCCACACAGCUUCUGAAGUUCAUAUAGAACUUUUCAAGAUGGGUAUCUUAAUCAACAUUGUGCAAGGACUAAUUAGUACACCGGAAAUGUGAAUUUCUUUUUCUUUUCCAAUCACGGAGGUCGUUAGUUUUUGAAAUUGACAAACGUUGAACCGUGGAGCUUGACCUCCCGGCCAUUGAGAGGUUGUACUGGUCUUGCAUUCAUCUCUGCAAACUGCAUUCAUGUUGAUCAACAUAAGGAGUUAAUAUGUGCUCCAGAUACUAUCAUUUCAAAGUUAAAUCAGAAGAACUCACUUCAGAAAGAUGGGUAGGUUACUUACAUCGAAAACGGCUUGUUGAAGCAACUUCACUUGUGCUAUUGAAACAGUAUGUACCUGAGGACAGUUUUUAAUUAGGGCAACUUCACUUGUGAUAUUGAACCAACAUGUGAAUUUACAGGAGUUGGAAAAAAUUUCCGGGCUGAUGAAGUUGGCUGUACCUGUUUGUUUAUGGUCCAAGUUACUCCUUCACUGCAAGGAGGGGUUGUGAAUGAUCCACUGUAUCUGUAAAAUUUCGAGCUAGCCUUUUUCAUCUUCCUCUUUUUCGGGUCCUGAAACCCGAGCUUAGCCUUCUUCAUCUUCCGAGGAUCAAUCACUCCCAGUUGUACCUCCUUCUCUACAUCCAUCAUCGACGCUAUCGCCUUUUUGACCUGAAAGUAGAAAUAACACCAUUGAUCUCCUAUAUCUGUCUUCCCUAAUUGAACCAAAACAAGUUUUUACCACAAAAAAUUUAAUGCUUGUUCUGACCUUUGAGAUGAAAGGAUUUGGUUGGCCAAUUUUGUAGAGGAAGCCAACCACAGCUACAUCACUGUUGUUCUUGGCUCUGUGAACCAUGUGCAAUUCCACAUCAUACCUUUUGCCAUUAAUGGAAUGCUCUGAGGGGGAGUGCCAAUGGCAUUGUCUGAGGUUGUAUUCUUUGCCAUUGAUACUGAUUGAUCCAGCAUCACCGUCCCAUAUAACCUGCGUCAAAUUUACAAGCAGUCGAAAAUCAUGCCUUCAUUAUUGUUCAUAAAACAAGUUAAACAAGAUUUUCACUUUCUUACCGCGAUAGCAUGACCUUCAUUCUUCAUAAUGGCUUUUGUAGGCUUAUAACUGAUUUUAAAAUGCUCUAAACUUGAGUUCACUUUGGUGGCAAUCCCAUCCCUUAAAUCUAUGGGUGAUUGGCCUUUCCCAUUCUUGCAUGUCAUCCAUUCUUUCUUAAGGUCUCCCCAGCGCUCUGGUCCUUUCUUGCUCCCUGCCUUGUAUUCAAAUUCUAUUUUAUGCCCUGCACCUAAAAACCCAAAUUCAGCAAAUUAUGAUGAAGAAGAAGAAUAAGAAGAAGAAGAAGAAGGAUGCAAGUUUCUAUAUAUUUAUGUAUUUGGCAUUACCAGAAACUUCAGCUCCAGUUGGUGUUGGGUCCAAGCACAGAAGAAAAAAUGUAAAAAAAAUGAACACAAGAUGGAUUUGCUUUGAGCCAGCCAUCUUUCACAGCCAAUUAUUGCAGCUAGGAUGCAAAUGGUUAUACCCAACAGGAUGGAUGCCUCCGGCUCCUGUUAGGUAUUUUAUAUAGCAAUGUUCAAUUCCUUGAUCAAUGUGUAUGAGAUAUCAAUCACUUUUAUGCAAUUCUAAUUAGCCUUUCUUGGCAUUGCAAUCCUUCUACAUUUUGGGGUAAUUAUACCAUUUUUUCAUGGAAAGUUUGGAAGUUGCAUUAACUGAAUUUGAUCAAUUCAAUACAGCCAGUCUGGCCACUCAUUUUUUUUUUUUAACUCCUUGAUUUAGGUGUUCUAUCUCUCUUUCUAUCUAUCUAACACUAAAAAUAUGGAAUAUUUUUCUGUCUAUAUACAAAAGUACUAUAUAUAGAAACAAGAAGUUGGUGCAGUCCUACUUAUAAUUAGCCCUAGAUUUAUGGGAUCCGAAAUUUUUUAGAACGUAGAAUGAAAAUAAAAAUAAAAUAAAAUAAGACACCAAAAUUUGCCGAUGGCUUUGUAAUUUUGUUUUGCUUUGACUAAAAACUAACAACGACACCAGCGCAAACAACAUGUCUACAACAAAAUUAGUUUCGCGAAAAAUAUGUUGUAUGUUGGCCUCAAGGAACUAAUCAUGUCCAACACAGAAUGUCCUUAACCAACGAAAAUAACUGUGGAGGCAAACGAGCACGACUCAAAAUAGCAUCAACUCUUGAGUCCGAGAUUUUCAUGUUUCUUGGUGUCCAAGUUUCUAUGGAGUUACUCCUUGAGAAUGUAAUCUGUCCAUGGAAUUUAUUUUCGGUUCAAAAUUGAAGACAUCAUAGACAGUCUAAAGAACAUAAAGAAUUUUCCAAGAUGGUAUGCUUAACAUAUCUGUGCAAGUACUAAUUUAUUACACAGCAAAGAAUGCAAACUUUUUAUUUUCUUUUCAAUCAUGGAUGUUGCUAGUUUCGCAACACUGGCUGUCUUAACAACGUGCUGUAGAGCAUGAUGUCUCGGUCGUUGAGAGGCUGUGAUGGUCUUGCGUUCAUCUUUGCAUACUGCAUUCAGGUUAAUGAACACAAGUUAAAUAGGUGCUCAAAAUUGAUACUUUAAUGUAGUUAGUUCUAACAGAGGAAUCACAUAACAAAGACAAGGUUACUUACAUCAUAAACAGCUUGUUUAAGUAACUCCAGUUGUUCUUUCGAAACAGUAUUUACCUGAGGGCAAAUUAUCUAAAUGUGAAUUUACAAGAGUUCAAGAAAUGUUCAUGGCAGAUGAAGAGGUUUUACCAUUUCGUUUACGAUCCAAAUAACUCCUUCAGUGCAAGGAGGGGUUGUGAGUGAGCCAAUGUAUCUGUAAAAUUUUAAGCUGCUCCAUUUUAUCUCACUUGGAUCAGUCAGUUCCAGUUGUGUCUCCUUUGUACCAAUCAUAGACUCUAAGCCGUUGUGCACCUGAAAAUUGGAAUAUAUAUAGUUGAAAAGUAACACCUUUGAGCUCCUAUAAUUUGUUUUACACAUGUUUUGAGUCUUUUUACCUUUGAGAGAAGAGGAUUGGGGCUACCAAUUUUGAAUAGAAGUGCAACUACAGCUUUAUUGUUCAGGUCCGGACUUCGGUGAAGCAUGUGCAGCUCCAAAUCAUACCUAAUAAGUAACUCUUUAGACAUUGAUCAAACAAUUUGGAUAUUUAAGACAGAGGAGCUGAGAUAGAGAAAGAGAGAGACCUGAUGCCAUUAAUGGAAUGCUCAGAGGGGGUGUGCCAAUGGCAUUGCUUGAGGAAGUAAUCUGUGCCAUUGAUUUUGACUGAUCCAGCAUCACCCUCCCACUCCAUCUGCAUCAAUUGAAUAUAAUACGAAGAAAUGAAAAUUGCAGCACUAUGAAUGUCUCUUAAAAUAUGUUUUUGUUUUUGAUGACAAAUUAGACAUUUCCACACAGCAUAUGUAGUAAAAAUUCAUAAGACCUUGAAUGCUACACAUUUGAAAAAAACAAUAAAUUAACUCAAUGAGAUUUUUAAUUUGCCCACCGCUAUAUAGUGGCCUUCGUUCUUCAUGGUUGCAUUGCAGGGCUUGUAACUCAUUUGAAGAUCCUCUGAACUUGAGAUCACUUUGGUGGCACGGUCAUCCGAUAAAUCUAUUGGUGAUUGCAAUUUUCCAUACUUGCAUGCUGCCCAUUCUUUCUUAAGCUCUCCCCAGUGUUCUGGUCCCUUGUCAUUCCCAUUCCUAUAAUCAAACUCUAUUUCUUGACCUGCACCAAAAACCCAAUGGCUGUGAUAAUGAUGAAGCUGGUAAAUGAGAUGAGUGCAAGAAGUAAAUAUAUUUGCAUUACCAACAACUUGGGCUCCAAUUGGUAUUUGGUGCCAGUAGAGAAGAAAUAACGAAAAUACAAGGAACUGAAGAUGGGCUUGCUUUGAUUCAACCAUCGUUCACAGACAACAGCCACUAAAAUCAUACAAAUGUUAAGACAGAGGAGCCUCUGUUCUUUGUUUGAAAUUGCUACAAUGAAGAAUGAUAGAAUGAUGCACUAUGAGCCUAUGCCUAUAUACAAUUUCCCGGAUCUAGAUGUGGAAAAAAAUCCAUACAUCAUCCCUCUAGUAAUAUCUUUGUAAUACUAAUCACUUUUAUUGCAUACUAAAAUGGGGUCUGAAUGAUUUCGAAAUUUGAUGACGCACAACAGCUAGGACAUGCAUGCAUCUGUGGUUUGCAUGCGAAAGUACUUCCACUCCCUACGAUGGAGAAGUUUAUGUGACCUAACACCGCCACGUGGUGUUAUUAAUCCACGUAUUAAACAUGUUAGCUUCUUGGUGUCUCGCUGUAUUCGUAUCCUCGUCUAAUACACUUGCAUUUUGAGAAAACCUCUUAACGAGUUGGACUCUCUCUUGGUGGAAACUAGAAAGAAUCAUCAGUCUCUGCUAACUAAGGUAUCUGUUAAUAAAUGCGGAUAUGUCCCAAUCUUGCCCUUUUAUUUUUUGGAAAGUCUUUAUCUCUGUUUGGUACGGAAAGAUUUACCUCAAUUCUUUCCUAGGUUCAUUUUGAAUUUUCUUCUUAUUUUAUUUUUAUAAGUUGGCACAUUGUGCUAUGUAGUGCCCGUGGAUAGCAUUUGGAAAGAUAAAUGAUUUCAAUCCAUUUACAACAAUUCAAUGUUAAUGGAAAAUUUCAUAAAAUGUUACACAUUCAUUCUAAUUCUGUUUUUGACUAAAAACCAGCUUAGGGACUUGGCAAUGAGAGAGACCUGGAGUUGGAAAUAGUUUGUGUUCAUGAUGCAGCACAGAAGACGGAUCGACAAACAUCUAAACCCGAAAAAAUAAACUGAAAUCCACUAGAAAAUAGAGAAAUCUCUAAAUUUUGAUUAAUAAUAUGAUAAAACCUAUUAAUAUAAUGCCAUUAGUCGGCUUAAAUAGAAAACAAAGAAACACUAGGUUACAAAAUAUUCCUAAAACUUAAUUAAUAAGAAAAUACUUUAAAUCAUAUCAGGAAAAUAAUAUCCUAAUUGAUAACUUGUCCAGAAAUAUAAAUAUAAUACAGAUUUUUUCAAGAAAUCAAGCAACCUGAAAAUCCCAGAGAUACGCAUUCCUUCUUUUCCUACCGCCAUAAUUAAUGCUCAAGCAUGAUUUUCCAAUUUUGAAGCCGAAUUUUCUGAUUUUGAAAUUUCCUUCCUAGGAAUAAACACAUGAUUUGUCCUACAUCAGUUCAGAACUUCCAUUGUCCUUGCUUUAGUAGCUUGGAGGUAAUCUAAAGACUUUCUUAGUAUGCAGCCACCACUGGCGACAAUGGAGGCUGAUGUGGUUAGUUACACAUAUCUCACUGGAGGAAGGAUCAGAAAGAUGAGCCAUGGAGCUUGAUAUCCCGGCCAUAAAGAGGUUGUAGUGGUCUUGCAUUCAUCAUUGCAUACUGAACUCAAGGUAAUCAACAGAAAAAGUUAUUAUAUGCUCAAAAAUGGACACUUUGAUAUGCUUUUUGGUGGACAUUAUCAUUUCGAAGAAUCUGUUGCACAAGAAUCACUUCACAAAGACAGGUUUUACUUACAUCGAAAACGACUUGUUGAAGAAGAUUCACUUGUGAUUUUGAAACAGAAAGUACCUGAGGACAGUUUAUAAUUAGCUUCUCAUUUUUGGCAACUGAAAUGUGAAAUUACAGGAGCAGGAAAAAUUUUCAGGGCUGAUGAAGUCGGUUGUACCUGUUUGUUUAUGGUCCAAGUAACUCCUUCAGUGCAAGGAGGGGUUGUGAAUGAGCCCAUGUAUCUGUAAAAUUUCGAGCUAUCCUCUCUCAUCUUCCUCCUUUUCGCGUCUUGAAACCCUGUCUGAGCCUCCUUCAUCUUCAUCGGAUCAAUCACUCCCAGUUGUACAUUCUUCUUUACAUCAGUCAUAGAUGCUAUCUCCUUUGUCACCUGAAAGUUGGAACAACACCAUUGAUCUCCUGUCCUCUUCUCUAAUUUAACUAAAACGAAUUUUUAGCACAUAAUUUGGAAGGAUUUUACCUCAGAGAGAAACGGAUUGGGUUUGCCAAUUUCGUAGAGGAAUCCAACCACAGCCACAUUGUUGUUCUUGGCUCUGUGAACCAUGUGCAAUUCCAAAUCAUACCUUUUGCCAUUAAUGGAAUGCUCAGAGGGUGAGUGCCAAUGGCAUUGUCUGAGGAUGUAAUCUGUGCCAUUGAUACUAAUUGAUCCAGCAUCACCUUCCCACACAAUCUGCAUCAAAUUACAACACAAGCAGUAAAAAUUCAUGUCUGAAUUUGUACACAAACAAGUUAAAGCAGAGUUUUUCACUUUCUUACCGCAAUAACAGGACCUUCGUUCUCGAUCAUGGCUUCGGCAGGCUUAUAACUGACUUUAAAAUGCUCUAAACUUGAGUUUACUUUGGUGGCAAUCCCAUCCAUUAAAUCUAUUGGUGAUUGUGAUUUGCCAUCCUUGCAUGUUUUCCAUUCCUUCUUAAGCUCUCCCCAGUGCUCUGGCCCUUUCUUGCUCCCUGUCUUAUAUUCAAAUUCUAUUGCAUUCUCUGCACACAAAAACCCCAAACUGAAUAAAUUAUGAUGAAGAAGAAUAAGAGAAUAAUGUAAGUUUAUAUAUGUAUGUAUGCAUUUGACAUUACCAGAAUUUUCAGCUCUAACGGGUUUCGGGUUCCAGCACAGAAGAAAAAAUGUAGAAACAAGUAACCCAAGAUGGAUUUGCUUUGAUCCAGCCAUCUUUCACAGCCAACAACACUCGAGUUUCAAAUUGCUACCACCCAAAAGCCUUCUCCUGUUGGGGUUUAUAUAGCAAUGUUCAAUUCCAGUUACAGAAUUUGAAUGUGGAAACAAAUCACAGCUUCUCCACUUUUAAGCAAUUAUAUAAUUUACCUUUCUUGGCAAUUGCAAUUAUACUUUGUUAAUGGAAAUUCAAGAAGUUGUAUUAACUCCUUGAUUUAUGUAAGCUCUCCCUCUUAUACUAGUAUUGAAGAUUUUUCUUUCUAUAUAUACAAGAGUUACUAUAUAUAGAAAAUAAGAAGUUUUGGUGCAGUUUUUUUGUUGUGAUUAAGCAAGCAUAUCCUCAUAAUUAGCGCUAGAUUUUGGGGGAUUUAUACACUUCUCUAGAACGUCUUGGUACAGAGAACAAAAAAUAAAAAUUAAGACAAAUGACUUGGUAAUUUUUUGUUUGUUUUGCUAUAACUGAAAACUAACGACGACAUCCACGCAAACAUGUCUACAGCAGAAUUAGUUUCACGAAAAAUCUGUUGUAACCAAAUCAAACAGAGAAUGUUGUUAACCAACCAAAUUAACGGAAUUGAGAUGUGUGCUUUCUGAUCUAUCAUAAAACAAGUCCAUUCUACCAACGGAUAGUUUUAGUUCAUUUUUCAUAAACAUUGUGAAGAACAUAUAGAAUCUUCCAGGCUCGUAUGCUGUAAUUUAUUAUUAUCAUGGACAUCACAUUGUUUGCAAGAAAUAUAAAAUGAAUAAUUAUACCACGUGAUCGUACUAUCGUCUCAAAUAGAACAACGCUAACUCACAAUUGAUAGAUACAACAAAUUCAUGCCACAAUUUCUCAUAAAUUUCAUAAAUUCAACAAACUAACACAGGAAUUACAAGUCUACGCUUAUAUAGCGCACAAACCUCACUAUUAAAAAAAGUAGAAAAGAGAAAACAAUAAAGGAAAAUAAUACAAUAUAUCUUCUUUCUAAUCAAAUUUAAAAAAAAAACAGUAAUUUAGAGAAGAUAUGCGAAGAUACACACUGUUAUGUGCGUAAAUAAUCUGAGAGAUUGCUUAGGGCUUUGGUUACCCUCUGGGUGGCUUGGUUUUGGUGCAUUAAUUGAGCCAGAUUCCUUGGGGCUUUGUGCACUAACUGACCUAUAUUGCUUGGGGCCGUGGUUGCCCUCAUGGGGGCUUGGUGCAUCACUUAACGACAGGCCAUAGUGCUUGAUUUCUCGGUCAUUGAGAGGUUGUAAUGGUCUUGUAUUCAUCUCUGCAUACUGCAUUCAAGUUAAGCAACAGUAGAAAUUAAUUUGUGUGAAAAAUUGUUACUUCGAUGAUAGGUACUGAUCAUUUGAAAGACACUACUCUCGCGAGUUUUCACUUUGUUGAAGUAGGUCAUUAGUUCAAAUCUCAUAGACGACGCCGGUAGAUGAAUACGAAGAAAACAAAAAUCAAGGAAUCAAUUAACGAAGAUAAGGUUACUUAC
rnacentral:lncRNA from 1 species